UAUUGGGGUCUAAAGCGUCCGUAGCCUGCCUGAUCAGUCUUCUGUGAAAUUGCUGUACUCAAUACAGCAGCGUGCAAAAGAUACUGUCAGGCUUGGAACUGGUAGGAGUAAGGAGUAUUUAGGGGGGAGCGGUAAAAUGCUAUAAUCCCUUGAAGACUACCUGUGGCGAAAGCGCCUUACUAGGACAGAUUCGACGGUGAGGGACGAAAGCCAGGGGAGCAAACCGGAUUAGAUACCCGAGUAGUCCUGGCUGUAAACGCUGUGAGCAAGAUGUUGCAUAUUCUUCGUGAAUAUGCAGUGUCGAAGAGAAGUCAUUAAGCUCACCACCUGGGAAGUAUGGUCGCAAGGCUGAAACUUAAAGGAAUUGGCGGGGGAGCACCACAAGGGGUGCGGCGUGCGGUUUAAUCUAAUUCAACACAGAGCAUCUCACCAGCGGCGACGGCAGGAUGAAGGUCAGUCUGAAGGGCUUACCUGACGAGCCGAGAGGUAGUGCAUGGCCGCCGUCAGCUCGUGCUGUAAGGUGUCCUGUUAAGUCAGGCAACGAGCAAGACCUGUAUCUACAAUUGCUAACGACUCUUUUAAGAGGAUUGAGCACUUUGUAGGGACUGCCUUCGAAAGAAGGAGGAAGGUGCAGGCAACGGUAGGUCUGUAUGCUCCGAAUCUGCUGGGCUACACGCGCGCAACAAUGGUAAGGACAAAAGGAUGCGACUCCGAAAGGAGGAGCUAACCCCAUAAACCUUAUCUUAGUCUAGAUUGAGGAUUGUAACUCAUCCUCAUGACACCGGAAUCCCUAGUAAUCAGAUGUAUCAGCGUCUGGUGAAUAUGUCCCUGCUCCUUGCA
rnacentral:rRNA from 1 species